UACGUAGGGGGCGAGCGUUGUCCGGAUUUAUUGGGCGUAAAGAGCUCGUAGGCGGUUUGGUAAGUCGGGUGUGAAAUCUCCACGCUCAACGUGGAGGGGCCACUCGAUACUGCCAUGACUCGAGUCCGGUAGAGGAGUGUGGAAUUCCCGGUGUAGCGGUGAAAUGCGCAGAUAUCAGGAAGAACACCCGUGGCUAAGGCGGUUCUCUAGUACGGUACUGACGCUGAGACGCGAAAGCGUGGGGAGCGAACAGG
rnacentral:rRNA from 1 species